rnacentral:rRNA from 1 species
AAAUUGAAGAGUUUGAUCAUGGCUCAGAUUGAACGCUGGCGGCAGGCCUAACACAUGCAAGUCGAACGGUAACAGAAAGAAGCUUGCUUCUUUGCUGACGAGUGGCGGACGGGUGAGUAAUGUCUGGGAAACUGCCUGAUGGAGGGGGAUAACUACUGGAAACGGUAGCUAAUACCGCAUAACGUCGCAAGACCAAAGAGGGGGACCUUCGGGCCUCUUGCCAUCGGAUGUGCCCAGAUGGGAUUAGCUUGUUGGUGGGGUAACGGCUCACCAAGGCGACGAUCCCUAGCUGGUCUGAGAGGAUGACCAGCCACACUGGAACUGAGACACGGUCCAGACUCCUACGGGAGGCAGCAGUGGGGAAUAUUGCACAAUGGGCGCAAGCCUGAUGCAGCCAUGCCGCGUGUAUGAAGAAGGCCUUCGGGUUGUAAAGUACUUUCAGCGGGGAGGAAGGGAGUAAAGUUAAUACCUUUGCUCAUUGACGUUACCCGCAGAAGAAGCACCGGCUAACUCCGUGCCAGCAGCCGCGGUAAUACGGAGGGUGCAAGCGUUAAUCGGAAUUACUGGGCGUAAAGCGCACGCAGGCGGUUUGUUAAGUCAGAUGUGAAAUCCCCGGGCUCAACCUGGGAACUGCAUCUGAUACUGGCAAGCUUGAGUCUCGUAGAGGGGGGUAGAAUUCCAGGUGUAGCGGUGAAAUGCGUAGAGAUCUGGAGGAAUACCGGUGGCGAAGGCGGCCCCCUGGACGAAGACUGACGCUCAGGUGCGAAAGCGUGGGGAGCAAACAGGAUUAGAUACCCUGGUAGUCCACGCCGUAAACGAUGUCGACUUGGAGGUUGUGCCCUUGAGGCGUGGCUUCCGGAGCUAACGCGUUAAGUCGACCGCACGGGGAGUACGGCCGCAAGGUUAAAACUCAAAUGAAUUGACGGGGCCCGCACAAGCGGUGGAGCAUGUGGUUUAAUUCGAUGCAACGCGAAGAACCUUACCUGGUCUUGACAUCCACAGAACUUUCCAGAGAUGGAUUGGUGCCUUCGGGAACUGUGAGACAGGUGCUGCAUGGCUGUCGUCAGCUCGUGUUGUGAAAUGUUGGGUUAAGUCCCGCAACGAGCGCAACCCUUAUCCUUUGUUGCCAGCGGUCCGGCCGGGAACUCAAAGGAGACUGCCAGUGAUAAACUGGAGGAAGGUGGGGAUGACGUCAAGUCAUCAUGGCCCUUACGACCAGGGCUACACACGUGCUACAAUGGCGCAUACAAAGAGAAGCGACCUCGCGAGAGCAAGCGGACCUCAUAAAGUGCGUCGUAGUCCGGAUUGGAGUCUGCAACUCGACUCCAUGAAGUCGGAAUCGCUAGUAAUCGUGGAUCAGAAUGCCACGGUGAAUACGUUCCCGGGCCUUGUACACACCGCCCGUCACACCAUGGGAGUGGGUUGCAAAAGAAGUAGGUAGCUUAACCUUCGGGAGGGCGCUUACCACUUUGUGAUUCAUGACUGGGGUGAAGUCGUAACAAGGUAACCGUAGGGGAACCUGCGGUUGGAUCACCUCCUUACCUUAAAGAAGC